rfam:Triticum urartu cultivar G1812 contig619929, whole genome shotgun sequence.
UAUAUACUCCCUCCGUUCCAAACUACUCGUCGCAGAAAUGGAUGUAUCUAGAACUAAAAUACAUCUAGAUAUAUCCAUACAUGCGACAAGUAAUUUGGAACAGAGGGAGUACAAA